AUUGAACGCUGGCGGCAUGCCUUACACAUGCAAGUCGAACGGUAGCGCGGGGCAACCUGGCGACGAGUGGCGAACGGGUGAGUAAAGCAUCGGAACGUGCCCUGGAAUGGGGGAUAACGUAGCGAAAGUUACGCUAAUACCGCAUAUUCUGUGAGCAGGAAAGCAGGGGAUCGCAAGACCUUGCGUUCUGGGAGCGGCCGAUGUCGGAUUAGCUAGUUGGUGAGGUAAAGGCUUACCAAGGCGACGAUCUGUAGCGGGUCUGAGAGGAUGAUCCGCCACACUGGAACUGAGACACGGUCCAGACUCCUACGGGAGGCAGCAGUGGGGAAUCUUGCGCAAUGGGCGAAAGCCUGACGCAGCGACGCCGCGUGGGUGAUGAAGGCCUGGUC
rnacentral:rRNA from 1 species